GCGCCCGUAGCUCAUUCGGAUAGAGCGCUUGGCUUCGAACCAAGAGGUGGGGGGUUCGAAUCCCUCCGGGCGCGCCA
rnacentral:tRNA from 1 species